rnacentral:misc_RNA from 1 species
GAAAUUUUCAGCAAAGGAAGGCUUUGCGCAGUUGUAAAAAUUUUGCACACACAUAAAUAUUUUGUGUGAAGUUAUCCAACAGAGAGAUAUAGCUUUUUCAAAGUUCCAGAAUUCUUCAAGCUUUGACCCCUUCAGUUUCAGAUCAAAUUUUCAAAAAUUCCACUCUGCUGAAAAGUACUCAAAUGUAGAAUGUGAAUCAUACCAAAAGCAAAGAAAUUUAAAUUUUAUAAGAAAGUCUAUUGAGCAAACUUGCACAGUUGACAGUAAAUCCUCAAAAGUAUCUUCAGAUUCUGCUAGUGACAUUAGACUCCUAAAAAAAGAAAUAGUUGUUUUAAGCAAAGCACUAGAAAUGGAAGUAGAAAAGCGGGAAAGAAUGGAAGAGAAAUGCAAGAGGUUGGAAAGGCUUGUAAAUGUUCUUCGAAAGAAAAUUAAUGGACAGAAUGUGGGCAUUCCUGUAUAAAUACUUAAUAGUCCUUUUUUUUUAAAUGCCUAGUCAUCAGCUUUUAUCGUAACUAGUCAUAGAAAGCAGUGGAUUACUUCAAAUCAUCUUCAAAUCUUCAAUCUUCAAAUAUGUUAUGUAUAUUUUCAACAGCUGAAAUUAAAACUUAUUUUCUUGCAGUUUCA